UACGGAGGAUGCGAGCGUUAUCCGGAUUUAUUGGGUUUAAAGGGUGCGUAGGCGGGCUGUUAAGUCAGCGGUCAAAUGUCGGGGCUCAACCCCGGCCUGCCGUUGAAACUGGCGGCCUCGAGUGGGCGAGAAGUAUGCGGAAUGCGUGGUGUAGCGGUGAAAUGCAUAGAUAUCACGCAGAACCCCGAUUGCGAAGGCAGCGUACCGGCGCCCGACUGACGCUGAAGCACGAAGCGUGGGUAUCGAACAGG
rnacentral:rRNA from 1 species